UGGCGGCGUGCCUAAUACAUGCAAGUCGAGCGAACAGACAAGGAGCUUGCUCCUUUGACGUUAGCGGCGGACGGGUGAGUAACACGUGGGUAACCUACCUAUAAGACUGGGAUAACUUCGGGAAACCGGAGCUAAUACCGGAUAAUAUUUCGAACCGCAUGGUUCGAUAGUGAAAGAUGGUUUUGCUAUCACUUAUAGAUGGACCCGCGCCGUAUUAGCUAGUUGGUAAGGUAACGGCUUACCAAGGCGACGAUACGUAGCCGACCUGAGAGGGUGAUCGGCCACACUGGAACUGAGACACGGUCCAGACUCCUACGGGAGGCAGCAGUAGGGAAUCUUCCGCAAUGGGCGAAAGCCUGACGGAGCAACGCCGCGUGAGUGAUGAAGGUCUUCGGAUCGUAAAACUCUGUUAUUAGGGAAGAACAUACGUGUAAGUAACUAUGCACGUCUUGACGGUACCUAAUCAGAAAGCCACGGCUAACUACGUGCCAGCAGCCGCGGUAAUACGUAGGUGGCAAGCGUUAUCCGGAAUUAUUGGGCGUAAAGCGCGCGUAGGCGGUUUUUUAAGUCUGAUGUGAAAGCCCACGGCUCAACCGUGGAGGGUCAUUGGAAACUGGAAAACUUGAGUGCAGAAGAGGAAAGUGGAAUUCCAUGUGUAGCGGUGAAAUGCGCAGAGAUAUGGAGGAACACCAGUGGCGAAGGCGACUUUCUGGUCUGUAACUGACGCUGAUGUGCGAAAGCGUGGGGAUCAAACAGGAUUAGAUACCCUGGUAGUCCACGCCGUAAACGAUGAGUGCUAAGUGUUAGGGGGUUUCCGCCCCUUAGUGCUGCAGCUAACGCAUUAAGCACUCCGCCUGGGGAGUACGACCGCAAGGUUGAAACUCAAAGGAAUUGACGGGGACCCGCACAAGCGGUGGAGCAUGUGGUUUAAUUCGAAGCAACGCGAAGAACCUUACCAAAUCUUGACAUCCUUUGACAACUCUAGAGAUAGAGCCUUCCCCUUCGGGGGACAAAGUGACAGGUGGUGCAUGGUUGUCGUCAGCUCGUGUCGUGAGAUGUUGGGUUAAGUCCCGCAACGAGCGCAACCCUUAAGCUUAGUUGCCAUCAUUAAGUUGGGCACUCUAAGUUGACUGCCGGUGACAAACCGGAGGAAGGUGGGGAUGACGUCAAAUCAUCAUGCCCCUUAUGAUUUGGGCUACACACGUGCUACAAUGGACAAUACAAAGGGCAGCGAAACCGCGAGGUCAAGCAAAUCCCAUAAAGUUGUUCUCAGUUCGGAUUGUAGUCUGCAACUCGACUACAUGAAGCUGGAAUCGCUAGUAAUCGUAGAUCAGCAUGCUACGGUGAAUACGUUCCCGGGUCUUGUACACACCGCCCGUCACACCACGAGAGUUUGUAACACCCGAAGCCGGUGGAGUAACCAUUUGGAGCUAGCCGUCGAAGGUGGGACAAAUGAUUGGGGUGAAGUCGUAACAAGGUAGCCGU
rnacentral:rRNA from 1 species